rnacentral:rRNA from 1 species
GAUGAACGCUGGCGGCGUGCCUAAUACAUGCAAGUCGAGCGAACGGACGAGAAGCUUGCUUCUCUGAUGUUAGCGGCGGACGGGUGAGUAACACGUGGAUAACCUACCUAUAAGACUGGGAUAACUUCGGGAAACCGAAGCUAAUACCGGAUGAUAUUUUGAACCGCAUGGUUCAAAAGUGAAAGACGGUCUUGCUGUCACUUAUAGAUGGAUCCGCGCUGCAUUAGCUAGUUGGUAAGGUAACGGCUUACCAAGGCAACGAUGCAUAGCCGGCCUGAGAGGGUGAUCGGCCACACUGGAACUGAGACACGGUCCAGACUCCUACGGGAGGCAGCAGUAGGGAAUCUUCCGCAAUGGGCGAAAGCCUGACGGAGCAACGCCGCGUGAGUGAUGAAGGUCUUCGGAUCGUAAAACUCUGUUAUUAGGGAAGAACAUAUGUGUAAGUAACUGUGCACAUCUUGACGGUACCUAAUCAGAAAGCCACGGCUAACUACGUG